GACGAACGCUGGCGGCGUGCUUAACACAUGCAAGUCGAACGGAAAGGCCCUGCUUUUGUGGGGUGCUCGAGUGGCGAACGGGUGAGUAACACGUGAGUAACCUGCCCUUGACUUUGGGAUAACUUCAGGAAACUGGGGCUAAUACCGGAUAUGAGCUCCUGCUGCAUGGUGGGGGUUGGAAAGUUUCGGCGGUUGGGGAUGGACUCGCGGCUUAUCAGCUUGUUGGUGGGGUAGUGGCUUACCAAGGCUUUGACGGGUAGCCGGCCUGAGAGGGUGACCGGCCACAUUGGGACUGAGAUACGGCCCAGACUCCUACGGGAGGCAGCAGUGGGGAAUAUUGCACAAUGGGCGGAAGCCUGAUGCAGCAACGCCGCGUGCGGGAUGACGGCCUUCGGGUUGUAAACCGCUUUCGCCUGUGACGAAGCGUGAGUGAUGGUAAUGGGUAAAGAAGCACCGGCUAACUACGUG
rnacentral:rRNA from 1 species